rnacentral:rRNA from 1 species
UACGGAGGGGGCUAGCGUUGUUCGGAAUUACUGGGCGUAAAGCGUACGUAGGCGGCUUUGUAAGUUAGAGGUGAAAGCCCGGGGCUCAACUCCGGAAUUGCCUUUAAGACUGCAUCGCUUGAAUCAUGGAGAGGUGAGUGGAAUUCCGAGUGUAGAGGUGAAAUUCGUAGAUAUUCGGAAGAACACCAGUGGCGAAGGCGACUCACUGGACAUGUAUUGACGCUGAGGUACGAAAGCCAGGGGAGCAAACGGG